CCUUGUUUCACUAAGGGAAGGUGUAUUGUUUCAGCUCGCAGAUUUGAGUUGUUUUCGUUCGACAAAGGCUACGGUAUAUAGAGGCCAUGUAUCCGACCAGGCACUGACUGACAAGGAACUAUGACAUGCCAAGGACUGUGAAGCAGAAAUAUCAAAAUGCCUGUUGACCAAGCGGAGCUGCAACCUCUCCUGAAGGAUGGCCAGACUGUCAUACCGAUAGAGAAUGACGAUGGCAGCGCCGAAGACAGGU